rnacentral:rRNA from 1 species
GACGAACGCUGGCGGCGUGCUUAACACAUGCAAGUCGAACGGAAAGGCCUGCUUUUGUGGGGUGCUCGAGUGGCGAACGGGUGAGUAACACGUGAGUAACCUGCCCUUGACUUUGGGAUAACUUCAGGAAACUGGGGCUAAUACCGGAUAGGAGCUCCUGCUGCAUGGUGGGGCCUGGAAAGUUUCGGCGGUUGGGGAUGGACUCGCGGCGUAUCAGCUUGUUGGUGGGGUAGUGGCUUACCAAGGCUUUGACGGGUAGCCGGCCUGAGAGGGUGACCGGCCAAACUGGGACUGAGAUACGGCCCAGACUCGUACGGGAGGCAGCAGUGGGGAAUAUUGCACAAUGGGCGGAAGCCUGAUGCAGCAACGCCGCGUGCGGGAUGACGGCCUUCGGUUUGUAAACCGCUUUCGCCUGUGACGAAGCGUGAGUGACGGUAAUGGGUAAAGAAGCACCGGCUAACUACGUG